AUUUGGGCCAGACAAAUAGAAUAGCUACCCGUAUUUAGUCGGAGGUUUUUUUUGGUUGCCUCAAUUGGGUAGUAUUCCAUAUCGCUUUAUGCGGACCUAAAAUCGCUUAAUCUUCAGCUCGCCUACCAACUUAGAGCUUCUUCGUAUAUGUGAAACUUGGGAGCCGUAUCUGUUCCGAUUUUACUUCAAACUUGUUUUCUACGUGUUGUCGCUGCCCGAUUUAUGUUCUUCGUUUGUGUCGCCGUGUUCAGCCGUGAUAUCGACCUGUCUUUGGACGCCUACACCAACUUCAGUUCCCGCACCACCAGAGCCACUUAGGGGUACAUUAAAGGAGCCCAAAGGUCAGCGUUGUGUGUGCUGUACACUAUUAUUUGUUGACCUACAUUAGUGAAGAUGGUUUGACCCCCUACACCUACUUACUUUCCUUAUCCUUGCUUCCUUAAUUCCUUCCAAUUUUUUUUUCCUUCCCCGUGUAUCGAGAACUUCCUAAUUCCCUCUCUGUAAAUCCUAAGUUACUUGUUGUUGUUGUGUUAUUUAAAUUUUGUGCACUAAAACUUUAUUAUGA